AGUGACUAAUGCAAAUGAAGCUAAAAUAAACUUCACAAUAACACCCAGAAAUCCAGUUUCGCACUCCAACGAGGGCUUAUUAGAGUCACGUGUAUCUAAUUAACUACGUAAAUAUAUUUAGAAGCACUGAAACCAGCAUUAAACACAGAAUAAGAUGACUGUAUAUCUAAACAAUGCCUAAACAGGUUAGCAAAGUAAUAUUUACAUUGUAGCACGCAUUUAGCACUUUGUUUCACUUAUGCGCGCAACCAUGUGUUAAAGUGCGGUCUCAGUUCAGUGAAUCCGGUCAGACAGGAAGCAACAUCACCACUGGGCUGAGCAGCUUCCAAAAAAACAACAACAAAAAAAAAGCUUUCCGUUACUCUGUUUUCACUCUUUAUUCUGAUCUGUGUUCCAUAUCCGUGCAAUGACAAGUUUAAGUAACUUAGACCAAAGUAACAGAUAAAUGCUUGUAUGCAAAUUGUAAUUUUAGUAACAUGUGAUCUAAAUUCAACAUCGUUUUUCUCUGUGACACUUCGUCACACAGACAAGCAACUAACAGGUUCAUUUCUUAUGAGCUCCAUCUCCCUGCAAUAAAUACUUAAAGAGCAAUUCAGUUUUUACGAUCAACAAUUUCCCUGAGGUUUCCACUAAAGGGAUCAAUAAAGUUCUAUUCUAUUCUAUUCUAUUCUAACUAAAAAGAAGGGAUGUGCAAUUAGAUGCAAAGUGCAUUAGUCAUAUUCAAAAGAUUAAAGGGUUUUAUUUUCUCUCAUGAGAUCCUCACAGAGUCGAAUUAACACACAGUUGAUCAUUUGCAGAACAAGUUUGGAAAGUGUAAUAUUUUAUUGACUUACAGUCGGUUGUGUUGGACAGUCAAAAUGCUGAUGGUGUUAAAAUGUUGAAAGAGUCUGUGCACACGCCAGCAACAUUCACUUCCCUGCAGCAAAUUGAAAAGAGUUACAUUUUGGGUGUUGGUGAAAUUUGAGCAAGAGUGGAGUUAAUUUUACUCUAGAUAGAGUCAAACCCCUUAUAUUUAACUCUGAGUUGACAAGUACUUGGUGUCAAAACAGAAUGUCAAAGCCGAGUGUCUUUAGAUCAAAUCUGCAAGUGUGAUUGUUGUAACAUCAACGCUGAACAUUUCACUCUGAACUCUAAACCUGACCAAGACUCUACCAGUGGAACUCAACUCUGCCCCUUGGUCUCACGAACUGAACGUCUCAACUGAAGCUGAACCGAAGGAGUCUGAAAACUGUGUUUGAGCUUGUUAAAGCUUGCUUCUUCUUUGCAUUUUUCAAUCCUUCUCUCUCCAUUAGUCUGUCCCCUCCGCCCGUUUAAUGGAGUCACUACCACCGGAACUCAGGAACAUUAAUUAAUUCAUCCUGUUAAAAGCCAAACUCAAAACUCACCUGUCUAGGACUGCUUAUCCCACCUUAAUGCAGCUACUUUGUCUGUUUUUACCCUAAUUUAUUACCUUGGUAUUUAACUGUGUUUUCUUUUGUUUCUGUACUUCGAUACUUACUGUAUUUGUUUCGUAAAAUGUGCUUGGGUGUCAUGUUAAGCGCUUGUACUCAAAUAAAAUGCAUUGUUGUUAUUA